rnacentral:rRNA from 1 species
CCUACGGGGCGCAGCAGGCGCGAAACCUUCGCAAUGUGUGAAAGCACGACGAGGUUAUUCCGAGUGAUUUCCGCUGAGGAAAUCUUUUCUCAGAUCUAAAAAGUCUGGGGAAUAAGGGGAGGGCAAGUCUGGUGUCAGCCGCCGCGGUAAUACCAGCUCCUCGAGUGGUCAGGGCGUUUAUUGGGCCUAAAGCAUCCGUAGCCGGCUCAGUUGGUCUCCUGUUAAAUCCAGCGGCUCAACCGUUGGUCUGCAGGAGAUACCGCCGGGCUAGGAGGCGGGAGAGGCGGACGGUACUCCGAGGGUAGGGGUAAAAUCUUUUGAUCCCCGGAAGACCACCAGUGGCGAAGGCGGUCCGCCAGAACGCGCUCGACGGUGAGGGAUGAAAGCUGGGGGAGCGAACCGGAUUAGAUACCCGGGUAGUCCCAGCCGUAAACGAUGCGAGCUAGGUGACACAACGCCUUCGGGGCGUUGUGGUGCCGCAGGGAAGCCGUUAAGCUCGCCGCCUGGGGAGUACGGACGCAAGUCUGAAACUUAAAGGAAUUGGCGGGGGAGCACCACAAGGGGUGAAGCCUGCGGUUCAAUUGGAGUCAACGCCGGGAAUCUUACCGGGAGCGACAGCAGAUUGAAGGUCAAGCUGAAGACUUUACCAGACGAGCUGAGAGGAGGUGCAUGGGCCGUCGCCA